CCCUUAGAUGUUCUGGGCUACACGCGUGCUACAAUGGCGUUUCCAGCAAGUCUGCGAACCCGAGAGGGCCAGCGGAUCUUCGAAUUGGCGUCGUGAUCGGGACAGUCGAUUGCAAUUAUUUGACUCAAACGAGGAAUUCCUUGUAAUCGCGAUUCAUCAUAUCGCGCUGAAUACGUCCCUGCCCUUUGUACACACCGCCCGUCGCUCCUACCGAUUGAGCGAUCCGGUAAAUGUUUUGGAUUGGUGCCGGGGCGGCUAGCUGCCGGUCGCUACGAAAUUUUGUGAACCUUAUCGCUUAGAGGAAGGAAAAGUCGUAACA
rnacentral:rRNA from 1 species